AUUGAACGCUGGCGGCAUGCUUUACACAUGCAAGUCGAACGGUAACAGGCCUUCGGGUGCUGACGAGUGGCGAACGGGUGAGUAAUGUAUCGGAACGUGCCCAGAGGUGGGGGAUAACGCAGCGAAAGCUGUGCUAAUACCGCAUGUGAUCUGAGGAUGAAAGCGGGGGACCAGGCAGCAAUGUUUGGCCUCGCGCCUUUGGAGCGGCCGAUGUCAGAUUAGGUAGUUGGUGGGGUAAAGGCCUACCAAGCCGACGAUCUGUAGCUGGCCUGAGAGGACGACCAGCCACACUGGGACUGAGACACGGCCCAGACUCCUACGGGAGGCAGCAGUGGGGAAUUUUGGACAAUGGGCGCAAGCCUGAUCCAGCAAUGCCGCGUGCGGGAAGAAGGCCUUCGGGUUGUAAACCGCUUUUGUACGGAACGAAAAGGCUCUGGCUAAUGCCUGGGGCUGAUGACGGUACCGUAAGAAUAAGCACCGGCUAACUACGUG
rnacentral:rRNA from 1 species